UAUGUGUGUGUGUGUAUGAGUGUGUGAGUCUGUGUCUGUAUAUAACAUUUUUUUAUACAAACUCACACACUCACACGCGCACACAUA
rnacentral:pre_miRNA from 1 species